UUUAAGCUUUUAUAGUUCAAUUGGUAGAACAAAGACCUUCUAAGUCUUAUAUUAUGGUUCGAUUCCAUAUAAAAGUAUAAUCUA
rnacentral:tRNA from 1 species